rnacentral:rRNA from 1 species
ACGGGUGAAGUAACGCGGUAGGUAACCUCGCCUCAUACGAGGGGGAUAACAGUUGGAAACGACUGCUAAGACCGCAUAACCCGCUAGUGUCGCAUGACACGGACGGAAAAUAUUUAUAGGUAUGAGAUGGGCCCGCGUCUGAUUAGCUAGUUGGUAAGGUAACGGCUUACCAAGGCGACGAUCAGUAGCCGACUUGAGAGAGUGAUCGGCCACAUUGGGACUGAGACACGGCCCAAACUCCUACGGGAGGCAGCAGUGGGGAAUAUUGGACAAUGGGGGAAACCCUGAUCCAGCGACGCCCGCGUGAGUGAAGAAGUAUUUCGGUAUGUAAAGCUCUAUCAGCAGGGAAGAUAAUGACAGUACCUGACUAAGAAGCCCCGGCUAACUACGUGCCAGCAGCAGC